AUGCGGCGCUGUCGGGGCGCGGCGCUGGCGGCGCUGGCCGCGCUGCUGCUCGUGGCUGCAGUCAGAGCCCAGGUACAGCAGGAGCCGUCACUGGAGACCACCGAGGGCACCAGUAUCAGCAUCAGCUGCUCACAUCCCAAUAUCCAGAAGGGCGAUUUCAUCCAUUUCUACCGUCAGCUCCCGGGCCAACGACCCGAGCUCCUGGCGGUCACUGCCAAAGCGACCAAGGACGUGCGAGUCCCUGAGGGGCGUCUGUGGGUGUCGGCAGAUCGGCGAUCGAGCGCGCUGUGGCUCCGGCGGCCCCGGCGCGGGGACGCGGCCGUGUAUUACUGCGCGCUGAGCCCACGGGCAGAGGAGCCGGGGCUGCGGCCGGGCACGAACCGCCGCGGGCGGGGCCGGGCGGGGCCGGGGGCACAGCGCCGGCCGCGGCCAGCAGGGGGCGCUGCCGCUCCGCCCGUGCCGGGCUGGCGGGGCGGAACCGACACCGGCACCGACACCAGAACUGACACCGGAACCGACACCAGAACUGACACCGGAACCGACACCGGAAUUGACACCGGCACCGACACCUGA